rnacentral:tRNA from 4 species
GGACGAUUAGCUCAGCGGGAGAGCGCUUCCCUGACACGGAAGAGGUCACUGGUUCAAUCCCAGUAUCGCGCAC